rnacentral:lncRNA from 1 species
CAUUUUCUUAAUAUUUUGCCUUUAAAAAUUUGCAAAUUUACCAACCGUCCCUAAAGCAAGUGACGAAGAACUUGGUGGUUGAUAUCGGAGACCCAAAUUCGAAUCCUAGUUGAUUCAUAUUUUCAGCUAAGUUUAUUUUUAAAUGAAAUAAACGAAGCGGAUAACGUGCUACCUAUCUCUCUCUCUCAAAAAAAAAAAGCAAAUUUGUAUCUU